GGGGCUAUAGCUCAGCAGGGAGAGCGCUUCGCUGGCAGCGAAGAGGUCAUCGGUUCGAUCCCGUUUAGCUCCACCA
rnacentral:tRNA from 1 species